rnacentral:rRNA from 1 species
UACGUAGGGUGCGAGCGUUGUCCGGAAUUAUUGGGCGUAAAGAGCUCGUAGGCGGUCUGUCGCGUCUGCUGUGAAAACUCAGGGCUUAACCCUGAGCUUGCAGUGGGUACGGGCAGACUAGAGUGCGGUAGGGGAGAGUGGAAUUCCCGGUGUAGCGGUGAAAUGCGCAGAUAUCGGGAAGAACACCCGUGGCGAAGGCGGCUCUCUGGAACGCAACUGACGCUGAGACGCGAAAGCGUGGGGAGCAAACAGG